UACGUAGGUGGCGAGCGUUGUCCGGAUUUACUGGGCGUAAAGGGCGUGCAGGCGGUUUGUUAAGUGCAGGGUGAAAGCUCCCGGCUCAACUGGGAGAGGUCCUUGCAUACUGGCGAACUCGAGGGAGGCAGAGGAAAGUGGAAUUCCCGGUGUAGUGGUGAUAUGCGUAGAUAUCGGGAGGAACACCUGUGGCGAAGGCGGGUCUCUGGGCCGAUACUGACGCUGAGGAGCGAAAGCGUGGGGGAGCGAACAGG
rnacentral:rRNA from 1 species